GUCGGGCACAGUGGCACAUGCCUGUAAUCCCAACAACUCGGGAGGCUGAGGCAGGAGGAACAUAGGUUCAAGGCCAGCCUUUGCAAUUUAGUGAGGCCCUAAGCAACUUAGUGAGAUCCUGUCUCAA
rnacentral:sRNA from 1 species